rnacentral:tRNA from 2 species
UGCUUUUCUAGUAUAAAUAAUACAAGUGACUUCCAAUCACUAAAUCCUAUCGCCACUGUCUAGGGAAAAACA